rnacentral:rRNA from 1 species
AGAGCGAACGCUGGCGGCAGGCCUAACACAUGCAAGUCGAACGCACCUUCGGGUGAGUGGCGGACGGGUGAGUAACACGUGGGAACGUACCUUUUGGUUCGGAAUAACGCAGGGAAACUUGCGCUAAUACCGAAUGUGCUCCGUAAGGAGGAAAGAUUUAUCGCCAUUAGAGCGGCCCGCGUUAGAUUAGCUAGUUGGUGAGGUAAAGGCUCACCAAGGCUACGAUCUAUAGCUGGUCUGAGAGGAUGAUCAGCCACAUUGGGACUGAGACACGGCCCAAACUCCUACGGGAGGCAGCAGUGGGGAAUCUUGCGCAAUGGGCGAAAGCCUGACGCAGCCAUGCCGCGUGAAUGAUGAAGGUCUUAGGAUUGUAAAAUUCUUUCAGUAGGGACGAUAAUGACGGUACCUACAGAAGAACGCCCGGCUAACUUCGCGCCAGCAGCCGC